UGACGAGUUGAUCCUGGCUCAGGAUGAACGCUAGCGGCAGGCUUAACACAUGCAAGUCGAGGGGUAUAGUUCUUCGGAGCUAGAGACCGGCGCACGGGUGCGUAACGCGUAUGCAAUCUACCUUUACAGAGGGAUAGCCCAGAGAAAUUUGGAUUAAUACCUCAUAGUAUGUGAGAAUCGCAUGGUUUUCACAUUAAAGUCACAACGGUAAAGAUGAGCAUGCGUCCCAUUAGCUUGUUGGUAAGGUAACGGCUUACCAAGGCAACGAUGGGUAGGGGUCCUGAGAGGGAGAUCCCCCACACUGAUACUGAGACACGGACCAGACUCCUACGGGGAGGCAGCAGUGAGGAAUAUUGGACAAUGGGGCGCAAGCCUGAUCCCAGCCAUGCCGCGUGCAGGAUGACGGUCCUAUGGAUUGUAAACUGCUUUUG
rnacentral:rRNA from 1 species